AUGUGAUCGUCUCUCGCAUAUCAAUAAGCGGAGGAAAAGAAACUAACUAGGAUUCCCCUAGUAACGGCGAGUGAAGCGGGAAGAGCUCAAAUUUGAGAUCUUAAAGGGUUUCCCUUUACGAAUUGUAGUUUAAAGAAGUGUUUUCUGUUGAGGUUUUGGUAAAAGUUCUUUGGAAUAGGACAUCAUAGAGGGUGAGAAUCCCGUAUUUGACCUUUACUUUCAACUUUGUGAUACACUUUCAAAGAGUCGGAUUGUUUGGGAAUGCAGUCCAAAAUGGGUGGUAAAUUUCAUCUAAAGCUAAAUAUUGGCGAGAGACCGAUAGCGAACAAGUACCGUGAGGGAAAGAUGAAAAGAACUUUGAAAAGAGAGUUAAACAGUACGUGAAAUUGUCAAAAGGGAAGCGUUUGACACCAGUGUUGUUUUUCUGAAAAUCAAUUAAAGAACUGUUUAUGCUAAGCUGUUUAGACUUUAUCAGCUAACUGUUUAGUUUUGAGCUUUUCUUUAAUGCACUUUUCAGUUAACAAGUCAACAUCAAUUUCUUUUGCUGUAAAAAAGCUUGAGGAAGGUGGCUUGAGAUUCGUCUUAAGUGUUUAUAGCCUCUUGCCUAUGCAGUCGGAGAGAUUGAGGUCUGCAGCGUAGAUCCUUCGGGGCUAAAUGCAUUUGUGCUAAGUUAUAGCAUUUUAUAGACAACUUGUUGACUAUGAUUUGUCUUGUAGCUUACUCGCUUAUGUUAUUUUACCUACGCUUAGGAUGUUGACUGAUAUGUAGUCGUA
rnacentral:rRNA from 1 species